rnacentral:lncRNA from 1 species
GAUUUCCAGCUUAUUGAUCAAAGCAAAGGAUCCUCUUCAGUUGUUCAGAACAUUGGAGUUAAUAACUUGGGGUUUCUCUCUCAGUUGGAAUAUAAUGCGUAUGAUUUGAAUCAAAAUCUUGAGCAGAAUAUCUCUGGUUUUGAUGGUACGGGUCUGUAUGGGGAUGAUGCUAUGAAUCAUAUAUCUGGCUAUUUUGCCAAAACAUCUGUCCUCACUUCUGCUUCUUGGGCCCAAAUGUGCCUUGGGAUUGCCUAGGGCCCUGCUCAGGAUUGGAUUGGUGUAAAGACUCUUGCCAGAGAGUCAUGCCAGCCCUGCAUUGAAUGGAAGGGCCACAUGGUAGACUCCAGUCUGCGACUGGGGGCAUCGGCCAUGAAGGAUGGACGCUUUUUUGCGUCUCAGUGCAAAAGCACAGGGAAAAGAUGUUGGUCUUCCAGAGUUGAGGGGGCUUUUUUUUUUUGCAACUUCAAGUCACCAUGGGAUGCUCUGGUAAGUUUUUGUCUCCUUCUGCAUCUUAUACGCCUCCUCCCAAUUUGUUUCUCCCUUUUGGAGAAUCCAACUAGUAAAGAGUUGAAGACGCUCCGUAAAAGUUCCAACUUCCAAGAUACCCUUCUAACCCCCCCCAAUUUGAAAUGCCUAAAAGUGAAAAAUGGAUCUGUCACAUCAAUUCGAAGUGUGGGGGGUUGGAUAGUUGACUCUGAAAGUCACAAAUAUGUGGGACCUUCAAAAAGGGAAAAGUGGUAAAUAAAUGGGGACAGAGUGAGUAUGUUUUUUUGCUUCUAUUCUCAAGUUUUGUAGACCUUGUGUUACCAUUAUUGUUCACGAUGCUAUUGCCAGAGCAUCUUUGAUCUUACUGUCCUUGAGGGUGAAACAAUUAGGGAGUGGCUCUUUUUGACAAGCCUCGAAGGGCUUUGAGGAGUGGGAUAGAAAGCAACGAUCAAUGCCGAUUAUAAUGGACGCGGCUGGCACGAGUUCACAAGGAAGCAGUGAUGAAUGAAUAUGGAGGGUGAAGAGAUCUUAUUAUAUGGACCCACAACCGAGGAAAGACUUUGAAUGGCACCUUUAUGAAUAUGUGAAAUCAAUAACUGUGAUGCUCUGCCUUGUAGCGGUUGGAAUUUAAGCUUGUUGAUGGGAAGAAGAGUACAAAAGGAAAAACAACAAACGGACCAGUAGCUGAUCUGCAGAAACAGUUGGGAAGGUCACUGCUGAAGUUUCCCCAGACAAACAAGCGAUAUGUGAAGGGACAAGGGAAAGGCGACAUCAAAGGAGGGGGGUUGAAAUAUUAUUCUGCUCCAACCGAAUGGAACCUGCAACUGAAGGGUUUAACUAGGAAACAGGUGCAUCCUAUGGAUUUAUCUGUUGACAAUAUGAAUGGCUAUGAAAUUGACGUAGUUAAAGAAGCUCGGAUGCAGAAGGCACAAGCGGCAUCUUGUCGUCUAGUAUAUAUAACACAAAUUGUUUUUUCUUUCUUUAGCCUUGGGCAAUGUUGCCUCAACGUUUUCUCAUUCCGUAUCCUCUGGUCUUCGGCUCUACGCAAUACGACCUUGUUUAGCACACAGGACUUUUGUGAAUAUUUAAUUCUUAUCGAGCGCAUUGCUAGAUCAGCAUAUGUGGGUGCUGGAGCUUAUUCUAACUGCUAUAACAUGUCUUACAGCUUGGCGAUUGCCAAAAAGUGAAGGUAAGAUUACUCCAUUUUCUUAACCAUUGGGUUACGGUGAACAAUAAUAAACCACGUGUUACAGAAUUGUUAUGUGAGUCCACCAAAUGUAACAUAUCCCAUGUUCGGGUUUUAAGACUUCCAUAUUGGGUUGGGGGGUGGGGGGUGGUCGUAGUAGCAUAUGUAACAUUUGUUGCUUGGUAUACAAGUUAUCUGGGUUGUGUUGGUUAUCAUCGAAUGUGCCAUGAUAUUAUUGCAAUUUUUAUAUUUGACAGUUUGGUGCUUUCACGGUUCACCGAUAAGUUUUCUCUAUUUUCUGCUCUCGUACGAGGUUGAGUUGGAUUUAUAUUCUGCUCUAAAUUGCAAUGAAUUAGCUGAUAUUUUGUUAUGAAUUGAUGUUUUUGGUACACUUCCCAGCGAUCAAAAAUCUUGGUAAUUAAAAAUGGAGAUUCCUAAUUUCGAAUACAAUCGACAGUCUUCCCAGCGUAUUACGCCACAUUGGCCCUGGAUUUGUGAAUUUGGACUGGAAAUUUCAUUUCUGCGACACUUUCUGGUCAAAACUUGAUUUUCCAAAUUUUGCACGACAAAAAAACCGGGAGUCUAUAGGAAAUUAUUGCGUGUUCCCGAAGUAAUGUCUAACAGGUCUAUAAUCAUACAAUCAUGGCCGUAUCCUCCAUAACCUGAGGUGUCUGCAAACCAACGAAGUUGUACUGGUGGUUGUACUAACUUCUUUCUCAGCUGGAUGUCUGAUACACACCUUUAAAAGGUGUGCAUUCUGAUGCUAUUUAAAUACUUAAUGCAGUUCUCAAGGUCAUAUCUUUGUUGCAAGUACAAUGAGAAUAAAUG